rnacentral:lncRNA from 1 species
ACGAUCUAUAGAUUAUUAGCGUAAUUUUUAGAUGUAAUUUUCAGUUAAAUAAAUUUGUGGAUUAAAAUGAUGUUUUGGUUUUCAGAAAUUUAAAAUGCAGAGAAUAAUAAACACAAUUCAAUGAAAUAAAAAUGGUAGGGAUCUGGAAUCCCCCUUGAUGAUAUUGCAUCCAAGGAAUAAACUCUAUGGUUCUUGAUUAAAGAUUAAAUGUAGGAUAGAUCUAAUCAUGGUAUAUGUUUCAUGAACAUAUGAACUCAAUUUCUAAGCAUCCAUCGUGCUUUCUACGUUUUACGACGAAUCAAAUACUAAAGCAAUCCAUAUAUCAAUAAUCAUAAUCCAUUAAAGAUCUAUCUAUGAAAUAACUAC